GAGAUUCCGUUGAAAGUUGGUCUGAAAGAACUGUCAAUUAAGUGUCUUUGAGAAGCGCCUACAAGAAAAGAAGACAAAUGAUACCACACAUUGCUAGAAGGGGUAGAACCGAUCCCCCCAUAGGGGUUCGGUAACGAAAUCUACCUUCAUCGACCACUGGACAGAAUCGAUCCCCUUUAGAGGGAUUCUGCACCGCUAUGUCCUCCUCGAUCUCUACCCAG
rnacentral:lncRNA from 1 species